AAAUUGGUAGCUCAGUGGUAAAGUUCAUGCUUUGAACGUAUGUAUGAUUUCCUGGGUUCAAUGCCCAGCUUCUUCC